CCGGCGCACGGGUGAGUAACACGUAUCCAACCUGCCGUCUACUCUUGGACAGCCUUCUGAAAGGAAGAUUAAUACAAGAUGGCAUCAUGAGUCCGCAUGUUCACAUGAUUAAAGGUAUUCCGGUAGACGAUGGGGAUGCGUUCCAUUAGAUAGUAGGCGGGGUAACGGCCCACCUAGUCUUCGAUGGAUAGGGGUUCUGAGAGGAAGGUCCCCCACAUUGGAACUGNGACACGGUCCAAACUCCUACGGGAGGCAGCAUG
rnacentral:rRNA from 1 species